rnacentral:lncRNA from 1 species
CUGAAGCUUGUCCUGUCUGGAAGCCUACUGAUAUUAUCCAACCUCCAUCUAUUAGCCUUUGCCACGCAACUCCUGCUGCAGUUAAAAGAUUUCAGAACUGCAGCCACUGGAUGAUGCAGAGUAAAGGCAGUGAAAGAAUUAUUUUCCAAUACUUUAUGAGGGAACAUUGGAAUACUUGCAUAAAAGAAACCUCUUCAUUUCAACAUCACCUUUCCAAGAAUGAUUGAUUGAUUCACCAGUACUGGAGAUUGGACUCGGGGGCACUGUACCACUGAGUACCACAUCCCCAGCCCUAUUUAUUUUUUAUUUUGAGUCAGGGACUCACUAAGUUGCCCAGGUUGUCCUUGAACUUGCCAUCCUCCUGCCUCAGCCGCCCCAGUUGGGAUCACAGGCAUGUGCCAUGGAACCUGUCUCCCUUCAAAGAUUUCAAACCAGAAUGAAUGCGGAUAUAACUGAGAAGCCUUUUUCAGUGACGUCCGCAUAUCCUAAUUCCACAUAGACAGUGGUAUUAACGGAGAUAACUAAAUAUCCAUAGCAACCGUGGAAAACAGAUCGCUUAUGAAGCCUUUCUUGCAAGUCACUUCCUUUUGUGAAGCCUCAUUCAGCCCCAGAGAGAAAUAAAUGUUCUCGUAACCUCGCUCCAUCCAAGACCAUGACAGUGAAUUUCCUUUCCACACAGCCACUUCCCACCCUCCACUGGGAGACAGUGACUCCUUCCAAGGACAUGCCAUGGUGGGUGUCUGGGGCUGUGUAAGGGGAAGGAAUAUCCACUGGGUACUUUGGGGUAUUUGACAAAAGCAAAGCCUGAUUCAGGUCCAGGUGGAUUGUAAAUGUUGGAUAAAUAUUAACACUCACCCCUCCCUUCCUUCAUCCUGACACAUUGAACAGAUAUUUACAAAGAAAUCCCCUCAAAAAUAUUCUGUGCACCACAGCUGCUGGUCCUUCUGACUGCUGCCUGCCUUUUGCCUUGGUGACUGGCUCUGCGGGCAGACCCUGCAGUAUGACUCAGCGUGUUGAAAUCUGGCUUUGAGAGUCACAACUCUCAAACCUGCUUUGACUAUCAGCAGCAGCUGACUGCAAUGAGUCUCUGGGGACCCUACUCCAGUGGUAAUGCUCAAAAGGAGUGAACUAGUGUUCCAAUAACUUCCAAUUAAAUGUUGCUGAAACUCAGAAGAGUACGCCUUGUCCUUAUGAAAAGUUCAGAGGCUCUGAGGGCCUCUCUUGUGAGUAAGUUUGCUCAGGACUCUCUGAGGCCCACCUUACCAACUUGAGCUGUGACACUAAGGAUGUACAUGGAACUGUGACAAUAAUGACGGUGGCAAUAAGAGCAAAUCAUACCAAUAAUAAAGGCAUCAUUGAGCACUUAUUAUUUGCUAGAUGCAUG